rnacentral:rRNA from 1 species
GAUGAACGCUGGCGGCGUGCCUAAUACAUGCAAGUCGAGCGAACGGACGAGAAGCUUGCUUCUCUGAUGUUAGCGGCGGACGGGUGAGUAACACGUGGAUAACCUACCUAUAAGACUGGGAUAACUUCGGGAAACCGUAGCUAAUACCGGAUAAUAUUUUGAACCGCAUGGUUCAAAAGUGAAAGACGGUCUUGCUGUCACUUAUAGAUGGGUCCGCGCUGCAUUAGCUAGUUGGUAAGGUAACGGCUUACCAAGGCAACGAUGCAUAGCCGACCUAAGAGGGUGAUCGGCCACACUGGAACUGAGACACGGUCCAGACUCCUACGGGAGGCAGCAGUAGGGAAUCUUCCGCAAUGGGCGAAAGCCUGACGGAGCAACGCCGCGUGAGUGAUGAAGGUCUUCGGAUCGUAAAACUCUGUUAUUAGGGAAGAACAUAUGUGUAAGUAACUGUGCACAUCUUGACGGUACCUAAUCAGAAAGCCACGGCUAACUACGUG